rnacentral:rRNA from 1 species
UACGUAGGGUGCGAGCGUUAAUCGGAAUUACUGGGCGUAAAGCGUGCGCAGGCGGUUUUGUAAGCCAGAUGUGAAAUCCCCGAGCUUAACUUGGGAACUGCAUUUGGGACUGCAAGGCUAGAGUACGGCAGAGGGGGGUAGAAUUCCUGGUGUAGCAGUGAAAUGCGUAGACAUCAGGAGGAAUACCGAUGGCGAAGGCAGCCCCCUGGGUCGAUACUGACGCUCAUGCACGAAAGCGUGGGGAGCAAACAGG